rnacentral:rRNA from 1 species
UACGAGGGGGGCGAGCGUUGUUCGGAAUUAUUGGGCGUAAAGGGUGCGUAGGCGGUUUGGUAAGUCUCUUGUGAAAUCUAUGGGCUCAACUCAUAGUCUGCAAGGGAAACUGCCGGGCUUGAGUGUGGGAGAGGUGAGUGGAAUUUCCGGUGUAGCGGUGAAAUGCGUAGAUAUCGGAAGGAACAUCAGUGGCGAAAGCGACUUCCUGGACCAGUACCGACGUUCAGGCACGAAAGCGUGGGGAGCAAACAGG